GACGAACGCUGGCGGCGUGCUUAACACAUGCAAGUCGAACGGAAAGGCCUCUUUCGGGGGGUACUCGAGUGGCGAACGGGUGAGUAACACGUGAGUAACCUGCCCUUGACUUUGGGAUAACUUCAGGAAACUGGGGCUAAUACCGGAUAUGAGCUCCUGCUGCAUGUUGGGGGUUGGAAAGUUUCGGCGGUUGGGGAUGGACUCGCGGCUUAUCAGCUUGUUGGUGGGGUAGUGGCUUACCAAGGCUUUGACGGGUAGCCGGCCUGAGAGGGUGACCGGCCACAUUGGGACUGAGAUACGGCCCAGACUCCUACGGGAGGCAGCAGUGGGGAAUAUUGCACAAUGGGUGGAAGCCUGAUGCAGCAACGCCGUGUGCGGGAUGACGGCCUUCGGGUUGUAAACCGCUUUCGCUCAUGACGAAGCUUUGUGUGACGGUAGUGGGUAAAGAAGCACCGGCUAACUACGUG
rnacentral:rRNA from 1 species